AAACUAUGGUGUGGGCAUUGUUUGAGCAUGUUAUUGUAUCUAUCCCAUGCUUCAAAUAAAGAUUCUGAGUUUGCUUGUUUGAAGCUUGCAAUAAGGUUCCUCAUAU